rnacentral:tRNA from 1 species
UGGGUAGUUACCAGAGUGGCCAAAUGGGGCUGACUGUAACUCAGCUGACUUACGUCUUCGGUGGUUCGAAUCCAUCACUGCCCACCC